GACGAACGCUGGCGGCGUGCUUAACACAUGCAAGUCGAACGGAAAGGCCCUGCUUUUGUGGGGUGCUCGAGUGGCGAACGGGUGAGUAACACGUGAGUAACCUGCCCUUGACUUUGGGAUAACUUCAGGAAACUGGGGCUAAUACCGGAUAGGAGCUCCUGCUGCAUGGUGGGGGUUGGAAAGUUUCGGCUGUUGGGGAUGCACUCGCGGCUUAUCAGCUUGUUGGUGGGGUAGUGGCUUACCAAGGCUUUGACGGGUAGCCGGCCUGAGAGGGUGACCGGGCACAUUGGGACUGAGAUACGGCCCAGACUCCUACGGGAGGCAGCAGUGGGGAAUAUUGCACAAUGGGCGGAAGCCUGAUGCAGCAACGCCGCGUGCGGGAUGACGGUCUUCGGGUUGUAAACCGCUUUCGCCUGUGACGAAGCGUGAGUGACGGUAAUGGGUAAAGAAGCACCGGCUAACUACGUG
rnacentral:rRNA from 1 species